rnacentral:rRNA from 1 species
AACGAACGCUGGCGGCGUGCCUAAGACAUGCAAGUCGUGCGAGAAAGGGGCUUCGGCCCUGAGUAGAGCGGCGCACGGGUGAGUAACGCGUGGGUAAUCUGCCUCCGGGUCCGGGAUAACCUCGGGAAACUGGGGCUAAUACCGGAUGAGACCACGAGGUCCUCGGGCCUCGCGGGAAAAGGUGGCCUCUUCAUGAAAGCUUUCGCCCGGAGAUGAGCCCGCGUCCCAUUAGCUAGUUGGUGAGGUAACGGCUCACCAAGGCUCCGAUGGGUAGCUGGUCUGAGAGGACGACCAGCCACACUGGAACUGAGACACGGUCCAGACUCCUACGGGAGGCAGCAGUCGGGAAUUUUGGGCAAUGGGGGAAACCCUGACCCAGCAACGCCGCGUGAGGGAUGAAGGCCUUCGGGUCGUAAACCUCUGUCGGGAGGGAAGAAACGCCUCCGGUCGAACAAGCCGGAGGCCUGACGGUACCUCCAAAGGAAGCGCCGGCUAACUCCGUGCCAGCAGCCGCGGUAA